UUAGAACGUCGUGAGACAGUUCGGUCCCUAUCUGCCGUGGGCGCUGGAGAACUGAGGGGGGCUGCUCCUAGUACGAGAGGACCGGAGUGGACGCAUCACUGGUGUUCGGGUUGUCAUGCCAAUGGCACUGCCCGGUAGCUAAAUGCGGAAGAGAUAAGUGCUGAAAGCAUCUAAGCACGAAACUUGCCCCGAGAUGAGUUCUCCCUGACUCCUUGAGAGUCCUGAAGGAACGUUGAAGACGACGACGUUGAUAGGCCGGGUGUGUAAGCGCAGCGAUGCGUUGAGCUAACCGGUACUAAUGAACCGUGAGGCUUAACCUUACAACGCCGAAGGUGUUU
rnacentral:rRNA from 1 species